rnacentral:rRNA from 1 species
GACGUAGGGCGCGAGCGUUGUCCGGAUUUAUUGGGCGUAAAGAGCUCGUAGGCGGCUUGUCGCGUCGGCUGUGAAAACUCGGGGCUCAACCCCGAGCCUGCAGUCGAUACGGGCAAACUAGAGUGUGGUAGGGGAGACUGGAAUUCCAGGUGUAGCGGUGAAAUGCGUAGAUAUCUGGAGGAAUACCGGUGGCGAAGGCGGCAUCCUGGACCGACAUUGACGCUGAACGGCGAAAGCUAGGGGAGCAAACGGG